AUUGAACGCUGGCGGCAGGCCUAACACAUGCAAGUCGAACGGUAACAGGAAGAAGCUUGCUUCUUUGCUGACGAGUGGCGGACGGGUGAGUAAUGUCUGGGAAACUGCCUGAUGGGGGGGGAUAACUACUGGAAACGGUAGCUAAUACCGCAUAAUGUCGCAAGACCAAAGAGGGGGACCUUCGGGCCUCUUGCCAUCGGAUGUGCCCAGAUGGGAUUAGCUAGUAGGUGGGGUAACGGCUCACCUAGGCGACGAUCCCUAGCUGGUCUGAGAGGAUGACCAGCCACACUGGAACUGAGACACGGUCCAGACUCCUACGGGAGGCAGCAGUGGGGAAUAUUGCACAAUGGGCGCAAGCCUGAUGCAGCUAUGCCGCGUGUAUGAAGAAGGCCUUCGGGUUGUAAAGUACUUUCAGCGGGGAGGAAGGGAGUAAAGUUAAUACCUUUGCUCAUUGACGUUACCCGCAGAAGAAGCACCGGCUAACUCCGUG
rnacentral:rRNA from 1 species